rnacentral:lncRNA from 1 species
AUGGGUGCGAAAUUGUCAGCACAGCAGAGAGGAAUCUAUUUUCAAAUUUUGGGUACCCUGGAGGGUGGGAAAAGAAAGUUUUCAAAACGAUUGUUAAAAAAGCUUGUUCAGUGGCUUUCCUUCCACUUUCCUAGGGUAUCCCCAGAGGAAAUACCAACCAUCUUCUGGGAUGUAGUUGGAAGCAAAUUAACAGCUUUGACAAGUAAAGGUGAUGCAUCGGUUGCUAAAUUCUUUUCAUUGUUUGUGCUAAUCCGAUCAGUGAUAGUUGAGGAAAAGAAAGUGGAGGAAAAGCUCAAACUAACACCCUCACCUCCCCUGUCCCUUGAUCCAAAAUCUUUGUCCCUUGCAUCGGGAAGUCCGUGCCAGGCAAACCGUGAUGAAGCGCAGGAGAGCUACCGACUCCCUGGCCUCCCACAGACUUCUUGGUACCCUUGCCUUGAGAGUGAUGGACACGCUGUCAAGGACCCUUUCCUAAACCUCUCUUUCCCAGCUGUUAAUCCUCCAGGUCAAGUGAAUGCCCCUAAAGGAGAUUCCCAAGUUUUCCCUGAGUCCUCCCCUGCCCCUCAGAAUGAUCUCCAAGAGACACAAGAUGGUGGAAGCCACAUGGCUCAGGCCCCACCUUGUGCUUCUUUUUCCCAGAAUCCCUUUCACCCUGUUCCUGCCAACCCCUUCCUAUCCCCUGACUGCACCCCUACCCAUGUCCCUCCUUCUCCUCCCCUCUCCCCAAACUCCACCCCUUCCCCGGGUUACCCCCCUUCUUUUCCACCAGCUCCGCCUCCCAUUCCCAUGACAUUAUCUGUUCCCAUGAUGUCACCUGUGAACAGCAGCUCCCAUUCCAAUUGCUGUCCCACCCCUGUUUCCUCCUCUGCCUUCUCUGGCAGCUCUCAUCCUCUUCCAGUUUCAACUUCCCACGAUGGCAUGGGAACUGGAAGCCAUGAGACUAAAAAACAGAACCCGGAACAGGAGAUCAUCCCCUUCACUGCACCUGUUACCUAUACCCAAGCAAGAGGAACCCCUAGGUGGCAACCUUUUGAUUAUCAGCAUAAAAAGGAGCUUUGCAAGGCUCAGAAGGAGUUUGGGAGAAAAAGUGAAUAUUUUAAAGGUCUUUUAAAAGCCACCUUUUCCUCAAACACUCUAGUUCCUGAUGAUAUCAGGGAUUUUUUUGCAUGUCUCCUAACCCAAACAAAAUAUCUGUUGUGGGAGAGGACAUGGAAGAGAUUUAUUACGGAACUUCUUCCUGAGCUCUUGCAAAGCCCUGACUGUGCCAUUGAUGCAGAUAACAACAGUAUCUCAAUGAACCACUUGUGUCAUGAAAGGGAUUGGUCACAAGCUAGAACUCAGGCUGAAAAAAUACCACAGCCUGUGUUGGAAUAG